rnacentral:tRNA from 1 species
GUCCAGGGGCGGGAAUCGAACCCACACCCUUCUGCUUACCGGGCAGGUGCCUUGUGCACUCGGCUACCCUGGA